CUGCUCCCGAGCAAGUUUAAGCUUACAGACCUGUUGCUAUGACAGGAACUCCAAGAUUAGCUUUGAAGAACCAAACAAUCCAAGAUCAUGCCAAAUCAUCAACAAUCAAAUCCAGCGUGAGUGAGCGACGUAUGAAGAACAGACCUCAGGUUUUGAAGUGCAAACUUUUGAAAACAACACUUUUAUCAUCUCUGUGUAAACUACGAAAACUACUUGUUCCUGAUGGUUGGUCUUGUCUGUCAGUCUUGUUUGCCUUAUGGAAGGACUGUCUCCUGGAGAGCCAGGCCUAAUUAAACACACAUGAACCAGCUUAUCACAGUCUUCAGGAUGGUAGUAGAAACUUCAGAUGGUUCUCUUGAGGCUGAGCUGAUGGC
ensembl:lncRNA